GAUGAAGAACGUAUUAAAAUGCGAUAAGUAAUGUGAAUUGCAGAAUUCAGUGAAUCAUCGAAUCUUUGAACGCACAUUGCGCCCGCCAGUAUUCUGGCGGGCAUGCCUGUUCGAGCGUCAUUUCAACCCUCAAGCACAGCUUGGUGUUGGGACUCGCGUUAAUUCGCGUUCCCCAAAUUGAUUGGCGGUCACGUCGAGCUUCCAUAGCGUAGUAGUAAAACCCUCGUUACUGGUAAUCGUCGCGGCCACGCCGUUAAACCCCAACUUCUGAAUGUUGACCUCGGAUCAGGUAGGAAUACCCGCUGAACUUAAGCAUAUCAAUAAGCGGAGGA
rnacentral:misc_RNA from 1 species